GAAUCAUCAGUCCCAAAGUCUGUGACCUGCCACCCAUGGGUGGAGGGAUCCUGGUCAUGGCUGGUCACUGUGAGGACAGAGGUCGUGUCCUUGUUCCUCCUCAUGCCAGAGCUCGGCCCUGGGCAGCCCAUCCUGGGGGGUCCCAGUGAUGUUCUAGUGCACACAUCCAUGCGCUGAGAUAGACCAGAAGUGUGAAAAGGCUUCCUGCUCACCCUCUGCAGUCUGCUGAGUCCCACACAUUUCUAGGUUCCUGUGUGGAUUCUGAUUCAGGGUCAGGGAGAAGUGUGUGGACUCCCCUCUGUGUUUGCUGUUAUGGUCCUGUCUGCUCCUGAAUUAUGAAAUUAAGGAUUAAAAUAGUAAAUAUUGUGUAUAGCUCACCAUAUUUUAAAGUCCAAUAAGAUAACUGCAGUUGGAGCAUAGGUAUUUUUAGGAAAGUUAAAUGACAUAGUAACAUUUUUACAAAAAACAGGAUAUUUACCAGGCCUCUUUCUGUGAGGAGACCCUGUCCUGGAGUGAUGUCGUGCAUUUGUGUGCUGCCUGUGUGAACACUGCCUACUUCACAGUGAUGAGGGUGGCUUAGCCAGAGACCCGAGGCUGUGUCUCCCAGGGCUCUCCUGAUGGUGUCCUUUGCCUGCCUUCACCACCCAGGAGGGUGGCCCAGCAGCAGCUCCGCCCGUGCUCUCACCCACCUUCUCCACACACGCCAGCCCUGCGUGCUCAGCACCCCAGGCUGCCAGAGGUCCUUCAGCAGCUCCCACGGCUGACAGUGACUCUAUGUUUCCUAUGCUUCUUCUACCACCAGGAGUCGGAGUUUCCGUCGCUGGAUUCUUGGGACCUGAUCCGGGCAGCACACUCGGUAAAGUCUUCUUUCUUUGUCUGAGAUGGGAAUUUUAUCUCUCUUGGUUUCUUUCCAUUUCAUUUGAAUUAUGAUAUGGACACGUUACUACGAAACAGAGGAACAAAAGAAUUUCUUGGUGGGGCAAAUGUAAGAGUCCAUUACCAACUAAGAACUGAUUCAAGAUGGCACCAUAGGUGACAGCUUCAGGGACAGACUGCAUGGCAGAGAGAGCAUUUUCCUCAUGAGAAGUGCUGGCUUUUAAAAAGAAUGCAGAAUUUGCAACCAAAAGACACUGGUCUAGAUAGAAGCAGCUGGACCCCAUAGUGUGACACGCGUUCAUUUGAACAUUCUACGGUGACCUGUCACUGAGGUCAUCUGAAGAUGGAGCCCUUGUCUACGGCUGUAGCACCCUGAAUGCCCCCGAUCUCAUCGUAGGAUGAAGGUCUUGCCUCCGUCCCAGCUGCCACUCUGUGAACUGCCAUUUCACACUGUGCGGAGCUAGGAGACCAGUGAUCAAGAUGGGAGGCAACCUUUGCUGCUGUUGUAAAGUUCUCCCGGGGCAUCUACUAUAGGAGCGGUCCAGUGUCAGCGGAGAGGAGGAGGACCCAGAGGAUGUGAAGAAAUCCUCAGGAGUUAUAUGAAAGGGUAUGUACUGGGGAACCCCUCUCAUACUGAUGAGUAUCCAGAUGAUGAGGAAUGUGCCACGGUCUCGCUGGCCUUCCUGUAGACAGGCAGCCUGAGUGGAGCUUCCUCUCAUGGAUGAGGACCUAGGCUGUGAUGGGAGAAAUGCUUGUUCCAGAUAGAGCGUGAUGGUCACAUUCUGCAGUCCCUGGGAGCAGCUGCAUGCUCUGAGGAUGGGAAUUGGAAGACUCCACCAUUACAGGCAGCCACCAGCAGAUGUCAGAAAGUCCUUCCUCUGCACCUGCAGAAGAAGCAACAGAAAAGACCAAAGUGGAAAAGGAAGUGAAAACGAGAAAGCCUGGGAAGAAAACCAGGAAGUCCAGGAAGAAAACCCGGUGGAAUGUCCUGAACUGUUGGGACAUUUUUAAUAUAUUUUAGAGACCUCUGAAGAUUCCUCGAACACCAGGAAGGGCCCUGAUGUGGGGACGUCAACAUGGCUCAGACUUCAUGUGGAUCGUCAUUGUUUCGGGAACUGUGUUACUCCAAAAACUUUAUAAUCUUGGCUUAAUUUGUUUUUAAAUAUUUUCCUGGCUGGGCACGGUGGCUCAUGCCUGUAAUCCCAGCACUUUGGGAGGCCGAGGCGGGUGGAUCACCUGAGGUCAGGAGUUCGAGGCCAGCCUGGCGAACAAGGUGAAACCCUGUCUCUACUAAAAACACAAAAAUUAGCUGGGCAUGCUGGCGGGCACUUGUAAUUCCAGCUACUUGAGAGGCUGAGGCAGGAGAAUUGCUUGAACCUGGGAGGCGGAGGUUGCAAUGAGCCGAGAUCAGGCCACUGCACUCCAGCCUGGAGACAAAAAAAAAAAAAAAUUUUUCAUGACUUUAACCUCUGUUUUUCA